UGGCCGAGGCGGCGGCGGAGGCCGGAAGCGGGCGGGCGGGUGGCGCGGCGAUGGAGGCGCCUUCGGUGCCGGCCGCCUCGACGUCGGGCGCGGCGGGGCGCGGGCCUAUCAAGGGCAUCCUGAAGAAGGGCGGCGGCAAGCUGUCGGGGGGGGGAGCGGCCCCCGGGGCGCGGCGGGCCAGCCCGGCCCGCGACGAGGACGAGCACGGUAAAAAAUCCCAGAAGUGGGAUGAAAUGAACAUCAUAGCUACAUACCACCCAGCAGGCAAAGAUUAUGGCUUGAUGAAAAUAGAUGAGCCAAGUACUCCUUAUCACAGCAUGGUAGGAGAAGAUGAUGAGGAUGCAGUGAGUGAUUCAGAAUCAAAUGAGCCCUUAAAAGCAGAUGUGUUGAGUAAAAAACUGGCAGCUGCAGCUGAAGGUAAAGGACCCAAGAUCAUAGCAAAGCAAGAGGAAAGCAGUGAGGAGGAGGAAGAGGAUGAAGAAUUAACACCUGAAGAACGAGAGAAAAAGAAACAGUUUGAAAUGAAGAGAAAAAUGCACUACAAUGAAGGACGAAACAUCAAACUGGCAAGACAGCUCAUUGCAAAGGAACUACAUGGUGAAGAAGAGGAGGAUGAGGAUGAGGAUGAAGAGAUGCAUGAUGCUGCAGAUGUAGAAACAAUGAAUACAGAAGCUACUGAACAUGGGGAAAGGAGGGCUCCAAUAGGCAACCUUAUGACCUUUCUCCAUGGCUUGAAGCUGCCAUCUCUCUGCACUCUGCUGUAAAACAGAGGCAACUCCGCUCCCCAGCUGCAUUCGCCAGUGGAAAGAAGGCACACCUUUGCAGCAUUUUUCCAUCUCUAUUGUUGAAGUCCAUUCCACCUUGCCUCAUAACCAGCUUCAGAGCCACAACUGACUGAGAUUUCUUGCUGAUUGAAAUGAAGAUGGCCAGUCCAGUCAGUAAUGCACAUGCUACUCGUGACCAGCUGGAAAGUAGAGCACACAGCAUAGAAGAAAUCUGUCCAGAACUGUAACUGCUUGUCAAAGUCACAAAUAUAAACAUCGCUUCAUGAUUUUUGCAAUUAAGGCUCUUAAAUAUUGAGAAGCAUAUCAGUUACAAUGUUGUAUUGCCAAGAAUGUUAAUUUUAGACUUGUCCAUUAGGCAGAAAAAACUGUCUAAUUGAUUUAUUCUUGUGCCUAGUAUUUCAUGGAGAAUACUGCUUCAUAAUCUGUUCAACCAGAAUGGCAUUCCCUGUAUGUAUAACACUGAUUAUCUUGCGUAAUAUACUGUUACUCUUCAUGCUUUGAAACAGACAGUAUCUUUUGGUUUUUCACUAUUUAUUUGACAGUGUUCUAGGUCUGGUAUCUGUUAUGGAAAGGUUUGGGAUUUAAGAGCCAAACGGUACAGCAUAUAUCAGAUUGACAUGCAAGCUAUUUAUCAGAUGUGUUGAGCAGUUUAAAAAGGGAUUAUUUAAGUCUUACAAUUUCUUUGUAAAGUGUUGACCUGUUAAUCUAGAUUUCAGUACGUUAUUACCUGUACUUCCCCAGUCUUUAGAAGAGCUGUAUUAUUUUUUAAGAGUGGUGUUUGGAAUCAGUUGUUAGUUUCUGACUAAGGCAAUACUAACAUCUGGUGGAGGGAAUGUUUUUACACUGGAAAUGUGUUAACUUGAACUUUGCAUUUAACCGUCAUUAUCUCUUCCAUCGGGACUGGAUGUUUUGUGGAGCUCUCUUUUGACUUAUCAUGAGAACAUGGAAGUUCCCUCCAACUUUUCUCUUAAAACCACAUCCACUGUCACUCUUCCAGCUCGUUUCAAACUUUUGGUCCUUUCCAGUUGCAUGAAGAGUGCUUGUGCUACUAGCACUUGAGGAAAAAUGCCCAACCAUGAGCAAAUCCACAUCAGGACUGUGAAGAUGAGCUGAGUUUAGGCUCUGGCUGUUCUUUAUGUAAAGAUAACUGCUGAUGAUCUCCUACUCAUUUGGGGUUGGCAACCUGCGUACUGAAAACCACUGGUCUAGCUCUUGCUGUACCCGUUGCAACUAACAGCAGCUGCUUUUGUAAAAUGAAGGCUGUUUGGAAGAAUGGAAGGGAAACUGCCUAAUUCAAAUACUUGUUUACAGUGUGGUUGUACAGCCCCUGUAAAGAGGGAUUCUGAACCUCCAAAUUGCUGUAAACAACUUCCCAUUUGGUGGAAUUUGACUGGUGAAUGUUCCAGUAUUCAGAGUAGUUCCUGGGUUUUAUUACACAAAUGAAGUAUACACUUAAGCUUUAGCUUGGUUAUGGAAUACAGUGUAUAUCUUAAUUUUGAUCUGAAUUUGAUAUGUUGCAAAAAUCCAUAUAAUUAUAUGGAUCUAUUUUAAAAUGUCUUUUUGUCCACUGUAUAUGUGAAGUUUGAAUAAAGGAAUGAAAGUUAUUUUACAGUUAUAUGCAUUCUCCAGUGUGAGCUUUCAUGAAAUCCCAGAGAGACUGAGAGUGAAUAAAGCAAUAAGAUGCUGUCCUUUGAGAGAUUUAUACAGAAAUAAUUGAUUAGAAUGGAUGCAUUGCCAAAGAUACCUGUGACUUGUGCUAAUUGGGUGUUGUAGUGUGCCUUUCCCAACUAUCUCUUCCCUUUAGUAGGUAACGGGGUUGUCAGUUGUGGGAUAUUUAGUCUUCUAAGGGCCUGAAUCAAGUUUAAUAGCAUCUUUUCACAAGAAAGAGUUGAACUCUUCAUUCAGUCCAGUGUGGUGAUGCUAAUUUUUCAAUAUGGAGAAUGCUAUUUCUUCUUGUAUCAAACAUGGUCACUUCUGUAGAACAAACAGGGGCAAAGAGUAAGCAUUUAGAUACUUCUGACUCCUGAAGUCGCUUACCAUAGCUUUAAAUUUGGCUCCCAAGAAUAGGACGUCAAAACUUAAAGUUUGCACCCUUUAUAUACCAGCUUGCAGUGUUCAGACUGUUGGAACGUCUGCACCAACCUGUAUUUCAAAGUGACCAGCUGAUGGCCUGGUCUCCCCCAGCUAGGCCAGUUAAGUCCUAUUGAGAGAGUGGCAGCACUCAGCAAUCAGACUGGAGCACAAAUGGGUCAAGAUUUGACCAAUGUGUAUGGGUAAUGCAGAUGUCUUCUGCGAUGCUGUAAAACAGAUUACUUGCACUUUGUGAUGAGUACAAGUGGGUACUUUGUACCUGCAAUUAAGGCAGAAUCCAUCAGAAGCAGCUCUUAUAUGAGUUGCUGUCCUGCCUUCCUUCCCCCCGCCCUCCCCGCCAUGUUCUGUGUCCAAGACCUCAUUUUCAUUUUGGUGCUCAGCAGGGGUAUUUUGUACCCUACAAUGCCUGCAAAGCAUUUUGUUUAACAAACAAAAAAACCCUUUGCUAAUUUCUAGUAAAGACCUUCCCUGUAAUAGCUUCCAAAAUCCUGGAUGAAAUGGGUAUGUAGUUUUCAGGGAGGUACAGUAUAUGUAGAUCCAUGAAGAUGGUUUUAAAUGAACCUCAGAAUGUACAGCAGGUCCCUUCAUUAGUCGGAUGAUUUUGAGCUGUCUGGGUGAUCCCGCCUUUUCCGUGCGACCAAGCUCCCAAGUUUUAGUUAGAUGCCAUUUUGGAACUUGUACUUGUUUUAGUUAUGGGUUUUAUUAAAGGCUUUGUUCUCCUCUUCAUUCUCUUCAGUGCUAGCAAAAAUUCUGUUCGUGCUGCUUCAUCUCACUCACUUGGGGUGCAACCUGAUGUACCUGACACUGCUUUUAACUGAAAGGCUGGUUUACUUGAUUUUAUCCAGGCUUAUACCUUCAUGCAUUUUAAAAGCUAAAAUAGGCAAGCUGACUUUGCAGUAACUACAGAUACUCUGUAUGGCUUUUUUUACAAAGGGAUGUCUGAUUUCCUUCUAUUCUGGAAUAGCAAUUAUAGUUCCCUGCUGAAUGGGGACAAGAGAAGAAAUGCCUUUUCUCUUUUUACAUUUGACGGGGACUUAGCUUGCAUGCAUGUCUUAAUCAUGAGGUGCAUAUGGUAAACGCUCAUUCGUACAGUAGAGUGGUGUAAAGAGAAAACAAAAGACAUGCAGCCCUUACUAAUGCGGACAUUGAGCUCCACAGCGUCAUCAUUGUGAAGCUUCUUGCACAGGUUUAAGUCCUCAAGCUGCACCCUGUUUAGAGAAAAUAUUUUCAAUAUGUUUCCAAUAGGAAGAUCACUUGCAAAUAAGAGCCUUAACUCCAUCUUUAUAAAGUUUUUUUCUGUUCUUAAAGUUUCUUUCACACCGAGUUGUACACAGUUCAUGGAAACAGCAAAUAUUUUUUUCCACAGCUUGCUCUCUCAUGUUAAAUUUGUGUAUCUUACCAGAACUCUUUGUUUCUGUAUCAUGCUUUUUGUGGUGUUUAUUAUGAUACCACCUCACAAAUGUAAUUAUUCUGUUUGAAACCAGUGUUAAGUGUCACAACGUAAAUAAAACCAUUGUUUUCAUUAGUGCCUUAUGGCACUAAUACUAGA